UGGCUCGAAAAUCGGGUCGUGACACUUUACCUCUUACAUUACAUUAGAAGAAAAUGGUACAUGUUCAUAACUCACAUUAAGAUAAUGUGAGCCUUUUGUUGUUGUUGUGUUGUUGACGGUUGCGAAGCCAUGCAUAAUUUUGAUGAUGGGUUUGCUUUUCUUGUGAAUGUGUUAUGUGUUGUUAUUGUUUUAUGAUAUGAAAACAUGUUGUCAUUGUGUUGUUGAAGAUUGAGGAAACAUGCAUAUUGGUGAUGACGCAUUGUUUUUUCUUAUUGUGAUUGCAGUCCAAGACUCUACAAAGACCGACGACAUUCUUUGAGGUUUUCGAGCACACUCACAAGUGACAGAAAGGUAUCAAAGAGUUUGUGGACAAAAAGUCGAAGAUUGUUAGUUAAUCAUACACAUAUGCUUUAUCGCAAAAGUAUGGUAAUGAUCCAUCGUCCUAGUUGAAGUUUGAUCCAUAGCAUGGUCUGACAUAAUUGGAGAGCUAAAAACCACUUGGACCCACGUUUGAGUUUAGCACCUAGAUGUAACUUGCUACACUAUUUGCUCCAACUGCAACAUUUAAGUCUGCCUGUGAUCCGAUGCCUUCUGCUAAUGAUACACGAGUUCCUCAAUCUGAACCUAAGGGCUAUCAAGAAAUGAAGAGCGAUGUGAAAAAGUUGAAAAUUGACGUGCAUGAUAUUAAGUCCAUCAAGAAGGUUGUACUUGAGAGGCUUCCAGAUCUAGCUGGCAGGUCUUUAUCAUUACAGUUGUCGCUUCCUAAGUCACAAUGCAGUCACCCCUUUCUGAUGAUUUGGUUGAGGCACAACCGUAAUUCUUUUUCGUUAUAGUACAAAUUCCAUGUAUUAACGUUUUUAUGGAUUUUGACAUAACAUUUCUUUUUUAAUCUUCAAAAGUUUGGUAUGUUUUUUCCAUUUUA